UACGUAGGGGGCAAGCGUUGUCCGGAUUUAUUGGGCGUAAAGAGCGUGUAGGCGGCCCGGUAAGUCCGCUGUGAAAGUCGGGGGCUCAACCCUCGAAUGCCGGUGGAUACUGUCGGGCUAGAGUGCGGAAGAGGCGAGUGGAAUUCCCGGUGUAGCGGUGAAAUGCGCAGAUAUCGGGAGGAACACCAAUGGCGAAGGCAGCUCGCUGGGACGUUACUGACGCUGAGACGCGAAAGCGUGGGGAGCAAACAGG
rnacentral:rRNA from 1 species